GUCGAACGCUGGCGGCGUGCCUAAUACAUGCAAGUAGAACGCUGAAGAGAGGAGCUUGCUCUUCUUGGAUGAGUUGCGAACGGGUGAGUAACGCGUAGGUAACCUGCCUUGUAGCGGGGGAUAACUAUUGGAAACGAUAGCUAAUACCGCAUAACAAGGGAUGACUCAUGUCAUUUAUUUGAAAGGGGCAAAUGCUCCACUACAAGAUGGACCUGCGUUGUAUUAGCUAGUAGGUGAGGUGACGGCUCACCUAGGCGACGAGACAUAGCCGACCUGAGAGGGUGAUCGGCCACACUGGGACUGAGACGCGGACCAGACUCCGACGGGAGGCAGCAGUAGGGAAUCUUCGGCAAUGGGGGCAACCCUGACCGAGCAACGCCGCGUGAGUGAAGAAGGUUUUCGGAUCGUAAAGCUCUGUUGUAAGUCAAGAACGAGUGUGAGAGUGGAAAGUUCACACUGGGACGGUAGCUUACCAGAAAGGGACGGCUAACUACGUGCCAGCAGCCGCGGUAA
rnacentral:rRNA from 1 species